GACGAACGCUGGCGGCGUGCCUAAUACAUGCCAGUAGAACGCUGAAGAGAGGAGCUUGCUCUUCUUGGAUGAGUUGCGAACGGGUGAGUAACGCGUAGGUAACCUGCCUUGUAGCGGGGGAUAACUAUUGGAAACGAUAGCUAAUACCGCAUAACAAUGGAUGACACAUGUCAUUUAUUUGAAAGGGGCAAUUGCUCCACUACAAGAUGGACCUGCGUUGUAUUAGCUAGUAGGUGAGGUAAUGGCUCACCUAGGCGACGAUACAUAGCCGACCUGAGAGGGUGAUCGGCCACACUGGGACUGAGACACGGCCCAGACUCCUACGGGAGGCGGCAGUAGGGAAUCUUCGGCAAUGGGGGCAACCCUGACCGAGCAACGCCGCGUGAGUGAAGAAGGGUUUCGGAUCGUAAAGCUCUGUUGUAAGUCAAGAACGGGUGUGAGAGUGGAAAGUUCACACUGUGACGGUAGCUUACCAGAAAGGGACGGCUAACUACGUG
rnacentral:rRNA from 1 species